AUUGAACGCUGGCGGCAGGCCUAACACAUGCAAGUCGAGCGGUAACACAGGGAGCUUGCUCCCGGGUGACGAGCGGCGGACGGGUGAGUAAUGUCUGGGAAACUGCCUGAUGGAGGGGGAUAACUACUGGAAACGGUAGCUAAUACCGCAUAACGUCGCAAGACCAAAGAGGGGGACCUUCGGGCCUCUUGCCAUCAGAUGUGCCCAGAUGGGAUUAGCUAGUAGGUGGGGUAAUGGCUCACCUAGGCGACGAUCCAUAGCUGGUCUGAGAGGGUGACCAGCCACACUGGAACUGAGACACGGUCCAGACUCCUACGGGAGGCAGCAGUGGGGAAUAUUGCACAAUAGGCGCAAGCCUGAUGCAGCCAUGCCGCGUGUAUGAAGAAGGCCUUCGGGUUGUAAAGUACUUUCAGCGGGGAGGAAGGUGCUGAGGUUAAUAACCUCAGCAAUUGACGUUACCCGCAGAAGAAGCACCGGCUAACUCCGUGCCAGCAGCCGCAGUAAUAC
rnacentral:rRNA from 1 species